AGAAGUUUUGUUUUUAAUUGUCCAUGCUUUAUUUUCCACCAACACCACCAUUUCCAUGGACAAAGUGGGUUCCAAACUACCGAUGUAUGAGUCAACAUGACCCAAGUAAGAUGGAGGACUGUGGUCUCAACACACAUGGUCAGGUCAACAGCAAGCCCAGUUUGAUUUUUCGACGGAAAUGCCAGGUUUUGAAAUAAUCCUUGCAAAGGCUGGAUUUGCUCCUAACAGGCCUUGAAUUGGCCUCCAAUGAUCUACUAACUUGUUAUUCACCAGGAAUGGCAAUUUCUCUCUCCCCAAAAUAGUUCAUUUGGUCAUGAAUGAACAGAGACAGGAAAAUUGAAGCAAACUAAGGAACUGGGCCUCUAUUGAGACCCAAAUGCCCUCUUCAGAGGGAACUACGAGGUCAACAAGCACAAUCCCCACAUGUGCAGUGAAGUCUCCAUACGUCCACUCUGGAGGAGGAGAUGACAAGGCAGGGAGGCUGUCAUUUCCUAC
rnacentral:lncRNA from 1 species